UACGUAGGGUGCGAGCGUUAAUCGGAAUUACUGGGCGUAAAGCGUGCGCAGGCGGUUGUGCAAGGCCGAUGUGAAAUCCCCGGGCUUAACCUGGGAAUGGCAUUGGUGACUGCACGGCUAGAGUGUGUCAGAGGGGGGUAGAACUCCACGUGUAGCAGUGAAAUGCGUAGAGAUGUGGAGGAAUACCGAUGGCGAAGGCAGCCCCCUGGGAUAACACUGACGCUCAUGCACGAAAGCGUGGGGAGCAAACAGG
rnacentral:rRNA from 1 species